rnacentral:rRNA from 1 species
UGGCCUGGAAUAACACGAGGAAACUUGUGCUAAUACUGGAUAAGUCUUUACGGAGAAAGCUUUAUGCACCAUUGGAUGAGCCUGCACUUGAUUAGUUUGUUGGUGGGGUAACGGCCUACCAAGACUGUGAUCAAUAGCUGAUUUGAGAGGAUGAUCAGCCACAUUGGGACUGAGACACGGCCCAAACUCCUACGGGAGGCAGCAGUGGGGAAUCUUGCACAAUGGAGGAAACUCUGAUGCAGCGAUGCCGCGUGAGUGAAGAAGGCCUUUGGGUUGUAAAGCUCUUUCGUCGGGGAAGAAAAUGACUGUACCCGAAUAAGAAGGUCCGGCUAACUUCGUGCCAGCAGCCGCGGUAAUACGAAGGGACCUAGCGUAGUUCGGAAUUACUGGGCUUAAAGAGUUCGUAGGUGGUUGAAAAAGUUGGUGGUGAAAUCCCAGAGCUUAACUCUGGAACUGCCAUCAAAACUUUUCAGCUAGAGUUUGAUAGAGGAAAGCAGAAUUUCUAGUGUAGAGGUGAAAUUCGUAGAUAUUAGAAAGAAUACCAAUUGCGAAGGCAGCUUUCUGGAUCAUUACUGACACUGAGGAACGAAAGCAUGGGUAGCGAAGAGGAUUAGAUACCCUCGUAGUCCAUGCCGUAAACGAUGUGUGUUAGACGUUGGAAAUUUAUUUUCAGUGUCGCAGCGAAAGCGAUAAACACACCGCCUGGGGAGUACGACCGCAAGGUUAAAACUCAAAUGAAUUGACGGGGACCCGCACAAGUAGUGGAGCAUGUGGUUUAAUUCGAAGAUACGCGCAGAACCUUACCAACACUUGACAUGUUCGUCGCGACUUUAAGAGAUUAAAGUUUUCGGUUCGGCCGGACGAAACACAGGUGCUGCAUGGCUGUCGUCAGCUCGUGUCGUGAGAUGUUGGGUUAAGUCCCGCAACGAGCGCAACCCUCACUUUUAGUUGCCAUCAUUAAGUUGGGCACUCUGAAAGAACUGCCAGUGAUAAGCUGGAGGAAGGUGGGGAUGACGUCAAGUCCUCAUGGCCCUUACGUGUUGGGCUACACACGUGCUACAAUGGUAUUUACAACAGGAAGCAAGACGGCGACGUUUAGCAAAUCCUUAAAAAAUACCUCAGUUCGGAUUGCACUCUGCAACUCGAGUGCAUGAAGCUGGAAUUACUAGUAAUCGUGGAUCAGCGUGCCACGGUGAAUGCGUUCCCGGGUCUUGUACACACCGCCCGUCACACCAUGGGAGUUGGUUCUACCUUAAGGCAAGGUUUUAAACCCUUGACCACGGUAUAGUCAGCGACUGGGGUGAAGUCGUAACAAGGUAGCCGUA